rnacentral:rRNA from 1 species
UACGUAGGGUGUAAGCGUUAAUCGGAAUUACUGGGCGUAAAGCGUGCGCAGGCGGUUUUGUAAGUCUGUCGUGAAAUCCCCGGGCUUAACCUGGGAAUGGCGAUGGAGACUGCAAGGCUAGAGUUUGGCAGAGGGGGGUAGAAUUCCACGUGUAGCAGUGAAAUGCGUAGAGAUGUGGAGGAACACCGAUGGCGAAGGCAGCCCCCUGGGUCAAGACUGACGCUCAUGCACGAAAGCGUGGGGAGCAAACAGG